UCGUGUCGUGAGAUGUUGGGUUAAGUCCCGCAACGAGCGCAACCCUCACCCCUUGUUGCCAUCAGGUGACGCUGGGCACUCUAGGGGAACUGCCCCGGUCAACGGGGAGGAAGGUGGGGAUGACGUCAAGCCAUCAUGCCCCUUACGCCCUGGGCUACACACGUGCUACAAUGGCCGGUACAAAGGGAUGCAAGACCGCGAGGUGGAGCUAAACCCAGAAAGCCGGUCUAAGUUCAGAUUGGAGUCUGCAACUACGACUCCAUGAAGGAGGAAUCGCUAGUAAUCGC
rnacentral:rRNA from 1 species